GGGAAUUCUUGCAUGGUUGUAGAAUGUUUUUUUGUUCUUCAGAAACCUAGUUGUGUAGCAACCCUCACCGUGAGUGUUUGCUAUGCCAAUUGAAAAUGCCAGCUGUUUAUCAGCUUUCACUUGUUCAUCGGAUCUUUUUGAACUUGGUGACGGCGAUCAUGCGCACGUGCCCGCAAUCGAGUUUAACUCCGCACUCGGGCAUUUGCUGCGUCGCCACUUCCCUCCUACCCGGAGCCACACGCGUCUCUCGAUGCCGGUGCAAGGUUGUGGGGCCGACGGUGGGGUUUCUGGCGUUCGUGGCGGCAGCGGCUGUGGAGUGGCCGGUGGGAGCUGUGGUGUACCUGUUCCGCCACCAGGCCCGGACAUGAGGUGAGGCCUAGGAGGCGCUUGCCUCAAGUCCAUUUUUGAGAGGGGCCCAAAAUUCCGGUUCUAUCCUAAUGUUGCCGUGAGCAAUCCGCCACCGACUUGCCGAGAUACUUUUUGUCGGAUUGGGUGCUGGCCUAGAGGGCUCCGCCGUGCCCUCCACCGGCUUUGCCCUUUCAGUCAUCCCUGGGCCCGCCCUUCCCUUUCCCUUUCCCUUUCCCUCUUUAGUCUUCUCCUCUGCCAAACUCCUUCUCCCCUUCCACUUCUUCCGCACUGUCACCUCGAGCGUGGGGCGGUGGGGAUUGUUCUCCGCUUUUGGCCCUCCCUCGUCGUCAGUACUAAGCUCCUACUCUUCAAGGGUGCUCGUCUCCUACACGACCGACAAUAGCAACCUCUUCGAUUCAUCUUCUAUUUUGACACUAGAUUUGAUAAGAGGAAAGAGCAUAUUGAUGAUAAUGAAUUCAUCCCUGGAUGAGCAAUAUACUAAUGAGGAUGCUACAAAGCCAGUGUAACUUGCUUCAAAAUAGUUCGAGUCAAGAGAUACACAUAGUAAUUUAUAAUGUUUACUUUAUAUUGUUACAUAAUUUGUAGCUUAUGGCAUUGAUAUUAUUUAUCCUUUUAGAGAUUUGGAUUAUGAGUUUAUUGAUUUUGAUAG